rnacentral:tRNA from 1 species
GCCGGGGUGGCCUAGCCUGGUAGGGCGCGCGCUUGGAAGCUGAUCGCCAAAUAGCGCGUUCCCGCAAGGGAUCGGGAGUUCAAAUCUCCCUCCCGGCG